rnacentral:rRNA from 1 species
UACGAGGGGGGCGAGCGUUGUUCGGAAUUAUUGGGCGUAAAGGGUGCGUAGGCGGUUUGGUAAGUCUUAUGUGAAAUCUACAGGCUCAACUUGUAGUCUGCAUGAGAAAUUGCCGGGCUUGAGUGUGGGAGAGGUGAGUGGAAUUCCUGGUGUAGCGGUGAAAUGCGUAGAUAUCAGGAAGAACACCCGUGGCUAAGGCGGCUCUCUAGUACGGUACUGACGCUGAGACGCGAAAGCGUGGGGAGCGAACAGG